rnacentral:rRNA from 1 species
GACGAACGCUGGCGGCGUGCUUAACACAUGCAAGUCGAACGGAAAGGCCCUGCUUUUGUGGGGUGCUCGAGUGGCGAACGGGUGAGUAACACGUGAGUAACCUGCCCUUGACUUUGGGAUAACUUCAGGAAACUGGGGCUAAUACCGGAUAGGAUCUCCUGCUGCAUGGUGGGGGUUGGAAAGUUUCGGCGGUUGGGGAUGGACUCGCGGCUUAUCAGCUUGUUGGUGGGGUAGUGGCUUACCAAGGCUUUGACGGGUAGCCGGCCUGAGAGGGUGACCGGCCACACUGGGACUGAGAUACGGCCCAGACUCCUACGGGAGGCAGCAGUGGGGAAUAUUGCACAAUGGGCGGAAGCCUGAUGCAGCAACGCCGCGUGCGGGAUGACGGCCUUCGGGUUGUAAACCGCUUUCGCCUGUGACGAAGCGUGAGUGACGGUAAUGGGUAAAGAAGCACCGGCUAACUACGUG